GCCUUCGUGGCGUAGUGGUCAGCACGCUCGACGCGUAACCCAGAGGUCCGUGGUUCGAGUCCCGGCGAAGGCG
rnacentral:tRNA from 1 species